rnacentral:tRNA from 1 species
GUCCCGAUAGCUCAGCUGGUAGAGCAGCAGACUUUUAAUCUGUAGGUCGUGGGUUCGAUCCCCACUCGGGACA